CCAUAGUUCGCUUUGGAANCUGUCAAACUUGAGUGCAGAAGGGGAGAGUGGAAUUCCAUGUGUAGCGGUGAAAUGCGUAGAUAUAUGGAGGAACACCGGUGGCGAAAGCGGCUCUCUGGUCUGUAACUGACGCUGAGGCUCGAAAGCGUGGGGAGCGAACAGGAUUAGAUACCCUGGUAGUNCACGCCGUAAACGAUGAGUGCUAGGUGUUGGAUCCUUUCCGGGAUUCAGUGCCGCAGCUAACGCAUUAAGCACUCCGCCUGGGGAGUACGACCGCAAGGUUGAAACUCAAAGGAAUUGACGGGGGCCCGCACAAGCGGUGGAGCAUGUGGUUUAAUUCGAAGCAACGCGAAGAACCUUACCAGGUCUUGACAUCCCGAUGCUAUUUCUAGAGAUAGGAAGUUACUUCGGUACAUCGGUGACAGGUGGUGCAUGGUUGUCGUCAGCUCGUGUCGUGAGAUGUUGGGUUAAGUCCCGCAACGAGCACAACCCCUAUUGUUAGUUGCCAUCAUUCAGUUGGGCACUCUAGCGAGACUGCCGGUAAUAAACCGGAGGAAGGUGGGGAUGACGUCAAAUCAUCAUGCCCCUUAUGACCUGGGCUACACACGUGCUACAAUGGUUGGUACAACGAGUUGCGAGUCGGUGACGGCGAGCUAAUCUCUUAAAGCCAAUCUCAGUUCGGAUUGUAGGCUGCAACUCGCCUACAUGAAGUCGGAAUCGCUAGUAAUCGCGGAUCAGCACGCUGCGGUGAAUACGUUCCCGGGCCUUGUACACACCGCCCGUCACACCACGAGAGUUUGUAACACCCGAAGUCGGUGAGGUANCCUUA
rnacentral:rRNA from 1 species